AGAUUUACCCAAGGGGGAGAUCCCAUGAUUGGUAAGGUGGCUUUUCCAGGGUGAAGUUUACAUUUCACAUUUGGAUAUGCUAACCCUGUGACUUCCCCAGAUGUAGGAAGCUCAGUUGCACAGUUUGUGAUAAAGGGUGGUGAUAAAAGAGGAAAGACACCCC
ensembl:snRNA U1 U1 spliceosomal RNA